rnacentral:rRNA from 1 species
ACGGGGUGCAGCAGGCGCGAAAAUUUCGCAAUGGGCGUAAGCCUGACGAAGGGAUUUAGAGUGCUUUCUCCACAUGGNAGGGAGCUUUUGCCAAGUCUAAAUAGCUUGGUGAAUAAGUGGUGGGUAAUACGGGUGCCAGCCGCCGCGGUAAUACCCGAGCCACGAGUGGUGACCACGAUUAUUGGGCUUAAAGCGUUCGUAGCCUGUCUGGAAAGUUUCUGAUGAAAUCCUGCAGUCAACUGCAGGGCUUGUCAGGGAUACUACUAGACUUGAGACCGGGAGAGGCUGAGGGUAUUCCUGGGGUAGGUGUAAAAUCCUGUAAUCCCAGGAGGACCACCUGUGGCGAAGGCGCUCAGCUAGAACGGAUCUGACGGUGAGGGACGAAAGCUAGGGGAGCGAAGCGGAUUAGAUACCCGCGUAGUCCUAGCCGUAAACGAUGCCCACUAGACAUUGGCAACCUCAAGUGGGUUGCCAGAGUCGUAGGGAAACCGUUAAGUGGGCCGCCUGGGGAGUACGGUCGCAAGGCUGAAACUUAAGGGAAUUGGCGGGGGAGCACACA